AAGCAGUGGCAUCAUUGCAGAGUUCAGCACUAUCGGCAAUGGUUCACUAUUCAAUAAACAUUGGGUGAGUUUAACAGAA